AGUGACAGAGUUAGGAGGGAGUGAUUAGUGACAGAGAGAGGGAUGGGGUGACUAGUGACAGUCACCCCCACCCACACUCUGUCACUAGUCACGCCCUCCCUCUCUCUGUCACU
rnacentral:miRNA from 1 species